ACAGGGAAAUGAGAAUUUGGAGGUACGUUCGAGGAAUGCACAACCAGCAUUAUUAACUCCAUGGUCCUCCAAUGACCCUCACUGCAAUCUGCCACAUCUUCUGAUUCAGUUUCCUGUAUUGAAGGCCUGGCCUCUGCCAAAUGAAUAAAAAGGCCCAAAAAGUA